UGUUGUGUGGCUCAGUGGUAGAGCACUUGCCUGGCACAUGGGAGGCCCUGAGUUCGGUCCUCAGCAUCACAU
rnacentral:tRNA from 1 species